GCUGUGAUGGCCGUGAGGGGUUAAGGCGUUGGACUUAGAAAUCUAAUGGGGUUUACCCGCGCAGGUUCAAAUCCUGCUCACAGCG